UACGGGGGGGGUAAGCGUUGUUCGGAAUUACUGGGCGUAAAGGGCUCGUAGGCGGCCAACUAAGUCGGACGUGAAAUCCCUCAGCUUAACUGGGGAACUGCGUCCGAUACUGGAUGGCUUGGAUUUGGGAGAGGGAUGCGGAAUUCCAGGUGUAGCGGUGAAAUGCGUAGAGAUGCGGAGGAACACCGAUGGCGAAGGCAGCCCCCUGGGCCAACACUGACGCUCAGGCACGAAAGCGUGGGGAGCAAACAGG
rnacentral:rRNA from 1 species